UGCUAAGGUCGUUUGUAGUGUUUCAUAGAU
rnacentral:piRNA from 1 species